UUGGAGACAAUCUCAGCAGCAGAAACCAUGGAACCUGGACCCGAUUUCGCUAUAAUCUCGAAUAAAUCAAGAUCAACGGCGGCUUUCAAAGCAAAAGGAAGCACUGUUGAAGUAGCGUAUUGAAUUGCCCUCUGUAGAUCGGAUAUUGCAAUGCUAUAUCCAUAAUAUGCCUGGUCCUCUAUCACCGUUGAUAGAGAAUUACCUGCGGGAAGCGGGUUUUUGGCAUGUGGCGACGAUAGGCCGGGGGUGCAAGUUGGACCCGAAACUCAUUAGUCCGUUGAUGAAGAAGUGGAGACCCGAGACACAUAUGUUCCAUCUUCCAUGUUGAGAGUGUACUAUCACUUUGGAAGAAAUGAAUUUGCAAUUUGGAUUGCCGGUGGACGGGUACGCAGUCAUUGGGUCCGUUCAAUCUGGUGAUUGGGGAGCGGUAUGCUACGAGCUUUUGGGUGCUAUUCCGGAUAAUAUUAACGGAGGUCAAAUCGAGAUGGGCUGGUUACGAGACACAUUCCCAGAGCUAGAUGAUGAUUCUACCGAACUAGAAAGAAUAUGAUAUGCUCGGGCAUACAUUCUUGAGAUAAUUAGAGGUUAUCUGAUGCCGGAGUUGCCACGAAACCUUGUACAUCUGAGAUGGCUGCUGAAACUCGUUGAUUUUAGAGCAACUGGUGAAUUUAGUUGGGGGUCUGCCGUGUUGGCAACAUUGUACCGGGAGAUGUGAGGGGCGACACGACCGAAUAAAGAAAAAAUCGGAGGUUGCCUAUCAUUACUGCAAUAAUGGGCACGAUUUCGCUUUUCAUUUUUACGUCCUCGAGUGGACCACCCAUAUACAUUCCCACUCAUAAUGAGGUGGAACUAUUCGGCAAGUUAUGUUGGAUUGCCUACCUCUCUUGAAGAUAUACGGCUUCUAUUAGACCAACGGUCGGAAGCACAAUUUCAAUGGACACCAUACGAGGAUCUGGAAAUUCGGGCAGUAAUUCAAGAUGAAUUCUUUCAAAAUCCGAACAUUUGGCAUGUGAAGGUCCCAUUGGUCAACUAUGCUAUCGUGGAGAUACACCAGUCAGACAGAGUAUUAUGGUAAUUUAGAUUCCGACAACCGAUUCCUGUGGCACCUAAGGUGUUGGAUGAUCAUCACAGAAUCGACUUACAACAAUUGCAUACGGAUUGGUCGAGAUUUUGGUCACACUAUAUCUAAAUGUGAGAAUAUCGGUAUAAUUAUAUACCUACUCGGGAAUUGAUCAUUGUUCUAGAGUUAGCGUGCGUGCUGGAAUACAUGCCAUGGUUUAAGAUCCAUGGCAAGCCAUAUUUAUUGUCGGAAAAGGAGAGGCGACGGCAAUUGCGUGUCCAAAAGGAACGACGUGGCCCUUUCAAUCCAAGAAGAAGGGACGACGACGCAGGCCCAUCACAAUCACUCGGCCCAGCAACAACACCUACACAGUCAUUGGGCCCAACACUUUAACCGACGACACCCACAGCACAGCCUUUUUCAAAUAAUGUCAGGUGUGUCUCCUAGUCCUUUUAUGUAUCCUAACCCUUAUAUGUUUCCUUUUUCUAGUCCUAUGGCAGGUUAGAAUGCAUGGCCCGGUUCAUCUGCAUUUUUGAUUACUCCGAGUGGACCAUCGAUCUAUAUGCCGUCGUCGCACGAGGGAUCGCACGAGGGGCCAUCGGGGAGCUCUUAUUUUUACCAAUCCCCAUCACCUUUAUCCUCCCAACACCGACAACCAGAUCCCUACCGGAGGAAUCAGAAUCCCUACUGGAGCAACCACAACCCCCGCCGAAAGCUGGACAAAGGAGGAAUCCAGCGCGUAACCGUCGACGACCUCCAUGUGACACUGAAUCUGGCGGCCACGAACAUUAAUUUUUAUUUUAAUAUAUUUGUACAAACAUUUUGAAUAUUUUUAUAUUAUUUCAUGUAAUAAAAUAAAAGGAAAUAUUUUGAAUAUUUUUA